AAGUCUAUAUUCAUUUUGUGUAUUUUCUUAGUGAACUUCUAAUUGAUGCUUGAGAUUGACUUUGGCCAAUUUGAUUAAAUAUAGCAAAUUUCUUUAUCUUGUGAAUAUUUGAUUGUAUAGAAACAUUCGUUAAAAAUGGAGUUUUCACUAUUUGAAUAAAAAAUCACAAUCGCAUCAUAUGCAACCAUUACACUUUUGACUGUAGCAUCCUGAAGCAGUCAAAUUGUGACCAUGAUUUAAAACCUCAAGUCUUGUUGAUGAAUAAAAUAGCUUAACGUGAAGGGGGUUAGCAUAGUUUAUCAAAUCCUACAAGAAUCUCGGAAACUUUUCAUUGAGCCAUGCUCAUAUAUAUAUAUAUAUAUUAAAAU
rnacentral:misc_RNA from 1 species